GACGAACGCUGGCGGCGUGCCUAAUACAUGCAAGUCGAACGCUUCUUUCCUCCCGAGUGCUUGCACUCAAUUGGAAAGAGGAGUGGCGGACGGGUGAGUAACACGUGGGUAACCUACCCAUCAGAGGGGGAUGACACUUGGAAACAGGUGCUAAUACCGCAUAACAGUUUAUGCCGCAUGGCAUAAGAGUGAAAGGCGCUUUCGGGUGUCGCUGAUGGAUGGACCCGCGGUGCAUUAGCUAGUUGGUGAGGUAACGGCUCACCAAGGCCACGAUGCAUAGCCGCCCUGAGAGGGUGAUCGGCCACACUGGGACUGAGACACGGCCCAGACUCCUACGGGAGGCAGCAGUAGGGAAUCUUCGGCAAUGGACGAAAGUCUGACCGAGCAACGCCGCGUGAGUGAAGAAGGUUUUCGGAUCGUAAAACUCUGUUGUUAGAGAAGAACAAGGACGUUAGUAACUGAACGUCCCCUGACGGUAUCUAACCAGAAAGCCACGGCUAACUACGUG
rnacentral:rRNA from 1 species